CCACGGGUGGCAGCAGUGAGGAAUAUUGGUCAAUGGGCGUAAGCCUGAACCAGCCAAGUCGCGUGAGGGAUGAAGGUUCUAUGGAUCGUAAACCUCUUUUAUAAGGGAAUAAAGAGCGGGACGUGUCCCGUUUUGUAUGUACCUUAUGAAUAAGGAUCGGCUACCUCCGGGCCAGCAGCCGCGGUAAUACGGAGGAUCCGAGCGUUAUCCGGAUUUAUUGGGUUUAAAGGGUGCGUAGGCGGCCUUGUAAGUCAGCGGUGAAAGUCUGUGGCUCAACCAUAGAAUUGCCGUUGAAACUGGGAGUCUUGAGUAUGUUUGAGGCAGGCGGAAUGCGUGGUGUAGCGGUGAAAUGCUUAGAUAUCACGCAGAACCCCGAUUGCGAAGGCAGCCUGCCAGGCCAUGACUGACGCUGAUGCACGAAAGCGUGGGGAUCAAACAGGAUUAGAUACCCCAGUAGUC
rnacentral:rRNA from 1 species